rnacentral:rRNA from 1 species
AACGAACGCUGGCGGCAUGCCUAACACAUGCAAGUCGAACGAGACCUUCGGGUCUAGUGGCGCACGGGUGCGUAACGCGUGGGAACCUGCCCUUAGGUUCGGAAUAACUCCCCGAAAGGGGUGCUAAUACCGGAUAAUGUCUUCGGACCAAAGAUUUAUCGCCUUUGGGUGGGCCCGCGUUGGUUUAGCUAGUUGGUAGGGUAAAAGCCUACCAAGGCGACGAUGCAUAGCUGGUCUGAGAGGAUGAUCAGCCACACUGGGACUGCGACACGGCCCAGACUCCUACGGGAGGCAGCAGUGGGGAAUAUUGGACGAGGGGCGCAAGCCUGAUCCAGCCAUGCCGCGUGAGUGAUGAAGCCCUUAGGGUUGUAAAGCUCUUUUAGCCGAGAUGAUAAUGACAGUACCGGGAGAAUAAGCUCCGGCUAACUCCGUG